rnacentral:rRNA from 1 species
GACGAACGCUGGCGGCGUGCUUAACACAUGCAAGUCGAACGGAAAGGCCCUGCUUUUGUGGGGUGCUCGAGUGGCGAACGGGUGAGUAACACGUGAGUAACCUGCCCUUGACUUUGGGAUAACUUCAGGAAACUGGGGCUAAUACCGGAUAGGAGCUCCUGCUGCAUGGUGGGGGUUGGAAAGUUUCGGCGGUUGGGGAUGGACUCGCGGCUUAUCAGCUUGUUGGUGGGGUAGUGGCUUACCAAGGCUUUGACGGGUAGCCGGCCUGAGAGGGUGACCGGGCACCAUGGGACUGAGGUACGGGCCAGAAUUCUACCGGAGGCAACAGGGGGGAAUAUUGCACAAUGGGCGGGAGCCUGAUGCAACAACGCCGCGUGCGGGAUGACGGCCUUCGGGUUGUAAACCGCUUUCGCCUGUGACGAAGCGUGAGUGACGGUAAUGGGGAAAGAAGCAACGGCUAACUACGUG